rnacentral:rRNA from 1 species
AUUGAACGCUGGCGGCAGGCCUAACACAUGCAAGUCGAGCGGAUGAAGGGAGCUUGCUCCUGGAUUCAGCGGCGGACGGGUGAGUAAUGCCUAGGAAUCUGCCUGGUAGUGGGGGAUAACGUCCGGAAACGGGCGCUAAUACCGCAUACGUCCUGAGGGAGAAAGUGGGGGAUCUUCGGACCUCACGCUAUCAGAUGAGCCUAGGUCGGAUUAGCUAGUUGGUGGGGUAAAGGCCUACCAAGGCGACGAUCCGUAACUGGUCUGAGAGGAUGAUCAGUCACCCUGGAACGGAGACACGGUCCAGACUCCUACGGGAGGCAGCAGUGGGGAAUAUUGGACAAUGGGCGAAAGCCUGAUCCAGCCAUGCCGCGUGUGUGAAGAAGGUCUUCGGAUUGUAAAGCACUUUAAGUUGGGAGGAAGGGCAGUAAGUUAAUACCUUGCUGUUUUGACGUUACCAACAGAAUAAGCACCGGCUAACUUCGUG